GGGCUGGCCAGAGAUGCAGGACUGAGCCCCAUCUUUCACCCCUGCCAAGCGAGCCCCAGGCCCUCUUCUCCCGGCCAGCCGGCCUCCUGUCCUUGCGGCCUGAGUACACUCUGAUCACUGUCUCUGUUCCCUGUCUCCCUCAACCCCGCCUUCUCCUGCUCCUGGCUUCUCCGGCUCUCAGAGGAAGCCCAGGAGGAAGCUGCAGAAGUCCAUGAGGAAGUUCAUGAACCAGAGGAAGUUCAAGAAGCCGCGCUGGCUUUUCUCUUGCAUGUGUGCUUGUGCCUUUUGCCACCUGGAAGACACCGCAGAGGAGGACGCGGAAGAGGAGAAACCGAGACCCAAACUCACUGCUCCUAAGAUCCCAGAAGGGGAGAAAGUGGACUUCGAUGACAUCCAGAAGAAGCGUCAGAACAAAGACCUAAUGGAGCUCCAGGCCCUCAUCGACAGCCACUUUGAAGCCCGGAAGAAGGAGGAGGAGGAGCUGGUCGCUCUCAAAGAGAGAAUCGAGAAGCGCCGUGCAGAGAGAGCGGAGCAGCAGAGGAUUCGUGCAGAGAAGGAGAGGGAGCGCCAGAACAGACUGGCGGAGGAAAAGGCCAGAAGGGAGGAGGAGGAUGCCAAGAGGAGGGCAGAGGACGACCUGAAGAAGAAGAAAGCUCUGUCUUCCAUGGGAGCCAACUACAGCAGCUACCUGGCCAAGGCUGACCAGAAGAGAGGCAAGAAGCAGACAGCCCGGGAAAUGAAGAAGAAGAUUCUGGCUGAGAGACGCAAGCCGCUCAACAUCGAUCACCUUGGUGAAGACAAACUGAG
rnacentral:misc_RNA from 1 species